AAGGGGGAAUGAAGAACUAAAAGAAGCUGCUAACUAUCUUUUAAAGCGGUUUAACUCCGUUUAUCCCUUU
rnacentral:tRNA from 1 species